CCGUUUCAAUUUGCUGCGGGCAAAUGAAAUGGAUAUGGGCAUCAAUACCGCCUGCCGUCACAAUUUUACCCUCUCCCGCAAUGACCUCGGUGCUCGCACCUACGAUCAUAUCGGGAUGAACUCCAUCCAUAAUAUCAGGGUUACCCGCCUUCCCGAUCCCGACAAUGUGACCAUCGCGAAGGCCGAUAUCGCCUUUAACGAUGCCCCAAUGAUCAAUAAUGACAGCAUUCGUGAUUAUCGUAUCCAGCACACCUUGAGCUCUUGUCGCACCGCUGGACUGACCCAUGCCGUCACGG
rnacentral:sRNA from 1 species